rnacentral:rRNA from 1 species
GACGUAGGGCGCGAGCGUUGUCCGGAUUUAUUGGGCGUAAAGAGCUCGUAGGCGGCUUGUCGCGUCGACUGUGAAAACCCGCGGCUCAACUGCGGGCCUGCAGCCGAUACGGGCAGGCUAGAGUUCGGUAGGGGAGACUGGAAUUCCUGGUGUAGCGGUGAAAUGCGCAGAUAUCAGGAGGAACACCUAUGGCGAAGGCAGCUCGCUGGGACGGUACUGACGCUGAGACGCGAAAGCGUGGGGAGCGAACAGG